rnacentral:rRNA from 1 species
GUGAGGAAUAUUGGUCAAUGGGCGCAAGCCUGAACCAGCCAUCCCGCGUGCAGGAAGACGGCGCUAUGCGUUGUAAACUGCUUUUCCAGGGAGAGAAACUUGCGCACGUGUUGCGCAAUUGACGGUACCCUGGGAAUAAGCAUCGGCUAACUCCGUGCCAGCAGCCGCGGUAAUACGGAGGAUGUGAGCGUUAUCCGGAUUCAUUGGGUUUAAAGGGUGCGUAGGCGGACUAUUAAGUCAGUGGUGAAAUCCUGCAGCUUAACUGCAGAACUGCCAUUGAUACUGAUAGCCUUGAGUUUGGUUAAGGUAGGCGGAAUGUGUAAUGUAGCGGUGAAAUGCUUAGAUAUUACACAGAACACCAAUUGCGUAGGCAGCUUACUGAGCCGACACUGACGCUGAGGCACGAAAGCGUGGGGAUCGAACAGGAUUAGAAACCCCUGUAGUCC